rnacentral:rRNA from 1 species
AGUGAACGCUGGCGGUAGGCCUAACACAUGCAAGUCGAACGGCAGCACAGUAAGAGCUUGCUCUUACGGGUGGCGAGUGGCGGACGGGUGAGGAAUACAUCGGAAUCUACUUUUUCGUGGGGGAUAACGUAGGGAAACUUACGCUAAUACCGCAUACGACCUACGGGUGAAAGCAGGGGAUCUUCGGACCUUGCGCGAUUGAAUGAGCCGAUGUCGGAUUAGCUAGUUGGCGGGGUAAAGGCCCACCAAGGCGACGAUCCGUAGCUGGUCUGAGAGGAUGAUCAGCCACACUGGAACUGAGACACGGUCCAGACUCCUACGGGAGACAGCAGUGGGGAAUAUUGGACAAUGGGCGCAAGCCUGAUCCAGCCAUACCGCAUGGGUGAAGAAGGCCUUCGGGUUGUAAAGCCCUUUUGUUGGGAAAGAAAAGCAGCAGGUUAAUACCCCGCUGUUCUGACGGUACCCAAAGAAUAAGCACCGGCUAACUUCGUG